rnacentral:tRNA from 1 species
GGAAGUGUGGCCGAGCGGUUGAAGGCACCGGUCUUGAAAACCGGCGACCCGAAAGGGUUCCAGAGUUCGAAUCUCUGCGCCUUUU